AGGUAGAGCAAAUCUCAAAAAGACAUCUCAGUUCAGAUUGCAGGCUGCAACUCGCCUGCAUGAAGUCGGAAUUGCUAGUAAUCGUAGGUCAGCAUACUACGGUGAAUACGUUCCCGGGCCUUGUACACACCGCCCGUCAAACCAUGAGAGUUGGCAACACCCGAAGUCGGUAGUCUAACCGCAAGGAGGACGCCGCCGAAGGUGGGGUUGAUGAUUAGGGUUAAGUCGUAACAAGGUACC
rnacentral:rRNA from 1 species